rnacentral:rRNA from 1 species
AUUGAACGCUAGCGGGAUGCCUUACACAUGCAAGUCGAACGGAGUGGCGAACGGGUGAGUAAUGUAUCGGAAAGUGCCCAGAAGCGGGGGAUAACUACGCGAAAGCGUAGCUAAUACCGCAUACAAUUGGAGCGGCCGAUAUCGGAUUCGCUAGGUGGGGGGGUAACGGCUGACCAAGGCGACGAGCCGUAGCUGGUUUGAGAGGACGACCAGCCACACUUGGACUGGGACCCGGCCCAGACUCCUACGGGAGUCAGCAGUGGGGAAUUUUGGACAAUGGGGGAAACCCUGAUCCAGCCAUCCCGCGUGUGCGAUGAAGGCCUUCGGGUUGUAAAGCACUUUUGGCAGGAAAGCGGUACCUGCAGAAUAAGCACCGGCUAACUACGUGCCAGCAGCCGCGGUAAUAC